rnacentral:rRNA from 1 species
UACAGAGGGGGGCAAGCGUUGUUCGGAAUUACUGGGCGUAAAGGGCGCGUAGGCGGCCUUCUAAGUCGAACGUGAAAUCCCCGGGCUCAACCCGGGAACUGCGUCCGAUACUGGAAGGCUUGAAUCCGGGAGAGGGAUGUGGAAUUCCAGGUGUAGCGGUGAAAUGCGUAGAUAUCUGGAGGAAUACCGGUGGCGAAGGCGGCAUCCUGGACCAUUACUGACGCUGAGGCGCGAAAGCUAGGGGAGCAAACGGG